rnacentral:misc_RNA from 1 species
CUUUGCCUCAUCUUUCUCUGCUGGUUCUCAUUUCGUUUAGGGUUCGGUCACAGUUCCGCCCUCUCUGCUGAUCCGCGGCAGCGGCGGCGGCGAUCUCUGCUGAUCAUCGGCGGCAUCGGAGACAUCUGCUGAUCAUCGGCGGCGGCGGCGGCGGUGAUGGCGACGGAUAAGGGGAUCAGUCUCGAGGAGAUAAAAAACGAGACCGUCGAUCUGGAACGAAUUCCUGUGGAGGAAGUAUUCGUGCAGCUGAAAUGCAGUCCGGAGGGUCUGUCAGAGGCAGAGGGGGCCAACCGGCUCCAAAUCUUCGGCCCCAACAAGCUCGAGGAGAAGAAG